rnacentral:rRNA from 1 species
GCUACGGGUGGCAGCAGUGAGGAAUAUUGGUCAAUGGGCUUACGCCUGCACCAGCCAAGUCGCGUGAGGGAAGACUGCCCUAUGGGUUGUCAACCUCUUUUGUCAGGGAGCAAUUGGCGCUACGUGUAGCGUUAUCGAGAGUACCUGAAGAAAAAGCAUCGGCUAACUCCGUGCCAGCAGCCGCGGUAAUACGUAUGAUGCGAGCGUUAUCCGGAUUUAUUUGGUUUACAGGGUGCGUAGGCGGAAUGCCAAGUCAGCGGUAAAAUCGCGGGGCUCAACCGCGCUCCGCCGUUGAACCUGGCGUGCAUGAGUGGGCGAGAAGUAUGCGGAAUGCGUGGGGUAGCGGUGAAAUGCAUAGAUAGCACGCAGAACUCCGAUUGCGAAGGCAGCAUACCGGCGCCCAACUGACGCUGAAGCACGAAAGCGUGGGUAUCGAACAGGAUUAGAUACCCGAGUAGUC